rnacentral:rRNA from 1 species
UACGGAAGGCAGCAGUGGGGAAUAUUGCACAAUGGGCGCAAGCCUGAUGCAGCCAUGCCGCGUGUAUGAAGAAGGCCUUCGGGUUGUAAAGUACUUUCAGUCGUGAGGAAGGUGUUAAGGUUAAUAACCUUAGCAAUUGACGUUAGCGACAGAAGAAGCACCGGCUAACUCCGUGCCAGCAGCCGCGGUAAUACGGAGGGUGCGAGCGUUAAUCGGAAUUACUGGGCGUAAAGGGCACGCAGGCGGUUAAUUAAGUUGGAUGUGAAAUCCCCGGGCUUAAACCUGGGAAUGGCAUUCAAGACUGGUUAGCUAGAGUCUUGUAGAGGGGGUAGAAUUCCAUGUGUAGCGGUGAAAUGCGUAGAGAUGUGGAGGAAUACCGGUGGCGAAGGCGGCCCCUGGACAAAAGGACUGACGCUCAUGUGCGAAAGCGUGGGGAGCAAAACAGGGAUUAGAUACC